ACCCAUUAGAUUUUAGACAACCUUUACAUCCAUUACAUGCACCAAUUGAUGCUCUAUCAUUCACAUUUGGAAUCCAAUGGCAUGUGUCACACAUGUUGUUGCACCUUUGACCCAUUUGUUGACACAUUUCACCUCCCUUUCCAUCUCUAUGCAAUGUACAUAAUCAUUCAUGCUCCCUAGCUGCAACACCACUCCAUUUUACCCUUCACACUUUGCAUCAUCACUUCAUUUU
rnacentral:lncRNA from 1 species